AGGGUAUGAGGAUGGUGGCCAUCGACCCGAUUCGACCCGUCUUGAAACACGGACCAAGGAGCCCAGCUUAUAUGCGAGUCAAAGGGUCUUGAACCCCAGGGCGCAGCAAACGCAAUUGUUUUGUAUAGAACGACCAGCAGUUUGAGGCGGCAUACGAUCAUUGAUUGUAGGUCCGACCUAGAGCAUAUAAGCUGGAACCCGAAAGAUGGUGAACUAUGCUUGAGUAGGGCGAAGCCAGAGGAAACUCUGGUGGAGGCUCGAAGCGGUGCUGACGUGCAAAUCGCUCGUCAAACUCGAGUAUAGGGGCGAAAGACUAAUCGAACCAUCUAGUAGCUGGUUUCCUCCGAAGUUUCUCUCAGGAUAGCAGUCCGACGAUAUUGUAUUGUUGUGUGUGGUAAAGCUAAUGAUUAGCGUAGUUGGGGGCAUUUUGUCUUCACUCGAUUCUCAAACUUUAAAUACGCACGGAUGUUGCUGCUUUAUUGAGCGGUAUCGUUAAAAAUGUCGGACUUGUGGGCCACUUUUGGUAAGCAGAACUGGCGAUACGGGAUGAACCGUAAGUAUGGUUAAGGCGCCAAAAUACUCGCUUAUAGAUCCCAAAAAAGGUGUUGAUUCAUAUAGACAGCAGGACGGUGGCCAUGCAAGUCGGAAUCCGCUAAGGAGUGUGUAACAACUCACCUGCCGAAUGAAUUAGCCCUGAAAAUGGAUGGCGCUCAAGCGUGUUGCCGACACCAUACCGUUUGAACAAAGUGGUAUUCAAAUGAGUAGGAGGACGUGGCGGCAUUGAUUGAGUGUGGGUAAGUCGUUCCUAAGCCGAGUGGUAAUGGCUAAUUAUCGCGCGAAAGGGAAGCAGGUUGAUAUUCCUGCACACGGAUGUGAAUGCGGUGACGCACCUCUGAGGCGAUGACGUUGGCGGUGGACCUGGGCAGAGAUUUCUUUUCUGUUUAACUAGUCUGAUCGCGCUGUGUGGAAUCCGCUUGUCGGGAGAAACACGCGUGUUGAGGAAGAGCGCCGGGAUUUUUCCGGCGUCCAGAGCUCCACCGACAGCCCUUGAAAAAUCGUCUGCAGGCC
rnacentral:rRNA from 1 species